AAUAUCGUCUGAUCCACUCGUCUCCGUGUAUCCCGCGGCGGCCCCAAUCCAGGAGGGAAGCAACCACCGGCCCGCCUCCCUGGAUUCGCUCCUGCUACGAGGGUUCCAGCCCGGCGCCCCCUGCAGCGGUGUGCCGCCUCCCUAGAAACCCUCUGCUGUGGUGUGCCGAUCCUGCCCGAUGCCUCCCUGCCCCACCGCCCCCUGCAGCGGCUCCCUCCGUCGAGCAGCCGAUGACGCCCAACACCGGCCACCAAUCCGUGGGUCAACAUGAUGAAGUCGGCGUGCUUUCUUCAGGAACUCCAUCGUACUUACGAAUAGGUACGGGGCAGCUCUACAAUGAUAGGAUGUUAUAAGGGAAAUUCAUCUGGGGGUAUCCCAAGAAUGAACAUAUGAGUAUCUCUCGAGUUGAACAAAUGACACACAUCGAGAGCAAAGUAAG
rnacentral:rRNA from 1 species